ensembl:snRNA U6 U6 spliceosomal RNA
AUACUCCCUUGGGCAGCACAUACACUAAAAUUGAAACUAUAUAGGGCAGAUUAAUGUGGCCCUUGCAGGAGGGUGACAAGCAAAUUUGUGAAGCAUCCCACAUUUUC